UAGAGAGUCCGAUCGUGCUUGAUUGGCGAGUUUCCGACCCGUAGUUGGACGUUUUCGCUUCGGCCGAAAUCGGCCGUCAAGCACACCGGAGGAGGAUUGGGAGGAGGUUAGCGAAGCUUCCGAAGAGAAGAGGUAUUGGUUCGUAAUCCCUAGUGUCGUCAUACUUCCGGUCGCUUUGUUGAUGGCGACGGAACCGGUUGUCUUCAAGAAUGCAACAGUCGCGCUAGCUAGUAGAACGGCGUAGGUGAAUACGAGAUGUCUCUACGUACAGAAGGGCAUUUCAGGUCAUUUCAGAUCAUUUCGCACGGUCUGGUCAGAGACGUGGUCAGGGCGUGGUCGCUGUCGAACAGAAGCUCGAAGUUGUGCGUCGUACAAGCAGAGGACGUGCUUUGUUGAGAGUAAUAGUUUGUAGAUAGUGUAGAUAGAUGUGUACAGUUGGUUAUUUCUACUUUGUAAGUAGUUUUACAAUAGUUUGUGUAGCGGAGUGUUGUGUACUACUUUUUCUCUCAUAACUUGAUUUUGUACUGUUCCGAGGUAAGCGAUGUUUAUAGCCGUGUAGAGUUGAGUCUGUUGCAUCUCUG